AUUCAAGAAUGUUCUGCCAUAUUUUUCAUUCUGUCAAACACAACGACAGUGCAGAGAUAAUUAUUCCAAGCCCUGACACCGAUAUUUUUGUAUUAGGCCUUUAUUUCUGGCAUUUUUUAUGUAAUUUAUUUAAUUAAAAAUUGAAAACAAUUAUUUCGGCCAUAUAUGUAUAACUUUAGUAGGCAGUGAUAGGUAUGUAUCAAUCAUCGGUUCAAGACUGGCAUCUUUGCUAGGUUACCGAGAAGAAACGAAAAUGGCCAAGAACAAGACGACGACAUAAUCUUCGAAGACUUCGCGCGCCUCAGGCUGAAGGGCGCGGACGCUGAUGCUUGAACAUUAUGCUAACAGCGCUCUCUUACUGAACUACAUUCUAUAUUUUGUUAUACCAAACGCACAAUUGUAUCGUACUUUUUGAAUUUUCAUAAACAACAUUGUUCGUUUUGAAAUCCAUCGAAUGACCAUAGACACAAGAAAUAAGUGUUACCAUCCUUAGCGAAAAGUGUUAUAAUCUGUAUUAAAAUAAAAAUGAUGUAUAAAAUCA